AACGAACGCUGGCGGCAUGCCUAACACAUGCAAGUCGAACGAGAUCUUCGGGUCUAGUGGCGCACGGGUGCGUAACGCGUGGGAAUCUGCCCUUUGGUUCGGAAUAACAGUUGGAAACGACUGCUAAUACCGGAUGAUGACGAAAGUCCAAAGAUUUAUCGCCAGAGGAUGAGCCCGCGUAGGAUUAGCUAGUUGGUGCGGUAAAGGCGCACCAAGGCGACGAUCCUUAGCUGGUCUGAGAGGAUGAUCAGCCACACUGGGAACUGAGACACGGCCCAGACUCCUACGGGAGGCAGCAGUGGGGAAUAUUGGACAAUGGGCGAAAGCCUGAUCCAGCAAUGCCGCGUGAGUGAUGAAGGCCUUAGGGUUGUAAAGCUCUUUUACCCGGGAUGAUAAUGACAGUACCGGGAGAAUAAGCUCCGGCUAACUCCGUGCCAGCCGCCGCUGUAA
rnacentral:rRNA from 1 species